AAUGAACGUUGGCGGCGUGGAUUAGGCAUGCAAGUCGAGCGCUCAUAGCAAUAUGGGAGCGGCGAACGGCGUAGUAAUAUGUAGGAACGUACCCUCGGGUCGGGGAUAGCCAUGGGAAACUGUGGGUAAUACCCGAUAAUCUCUGCGGAGCAAAGGUGUGAUUCCGCCUGAGGAGCGGCCCACACGAUAUUAGCUAGUUGGUAGGGUAAUGGCCUACCAAGGCUACGAUGUCUAGGGGGUGUGAGAGCAUGGCCCCCACGACCGGAACUGAGAUACUGUCCGGACACCUACGGGUGGCUGCAGUCGAGAAUCUUCCGCAAUGGACGAAAGUCUGACGGAGCGACGCCGCGUGCGGGAUGAAGGCCCUUGGGUUGUAAACCGCUGUCAGAGGGGAUGAAAUCUUCGGAGGUGCUCCUCCAAAGUUGACAGAGCCUCAAAGGAAGCACGGGCUAAGUACGUG
rnacentral:rRNA from 1 species